rnacentral:rRNA from 1 species
CUAGCUGCGUGAAUUAAUGUGAAUUGCAGAACACAUUGAACAUCGACACCUUGAACGCACAUGGCGGCUUCGGGUUUACCCCGGGGCCACGCCCGUCUGAGGGUCGGUUGGCUAAAGCGAUCGCUACCUUGUCCGUAAAUUUUUUUUAUGUCCGGUUUCUAUCAUUUCUCGGGCUCUCGCGAGAUUGUGCAUGAGACUGGUACAUCAAAAUAAUUUUGGUAGCGCAUUGGGCCUUCGUGAAUAGCGUACGGUUAGCGCCCUUGCUCUCUGCGCUUCGUCGCAUGUUCUCGUGGCUUUAAGUACAGGAUGCGCCGUCGUCCUAUCUGUCCUACGAGAUGCUGCUCGCCUCGUCGGUGGUCUCUCGCUGCGCGACAGGUACCCGGCUCGUGCUUUAAAAGCGAGCUGUACGGACCUGGGACGCGCGUGAAAUGUUCGGGAGAUGGGCCGCAUAGCAGCGAUUCGUUCGGACUUACGGCGUCCGUCUUACACAUUAAUUUGUGUGGCGUGAAACAUUUUUUAUCCGACCUCAGAUCGGACGAGAUUACCCGCUGAAUUUAAGCAUAUUACUAAGCGGAGGAAAAGAAACUAACAAGGAUUUCCCUAGUAACGG